rnacentral:misc_RNA from 1 species
UCUCCGUCGGUGAACCAGCGGAGGGAUCAUUACAGGACUCGCAAGACUCCUGCACCCCUGUGAACUUAACUAUAUGCACGUUGCUUCAGCGGUUGUCUCGCAGGGCGUUCUCGCUCCCCGGAACGAUAAACCCGCAGCCACCGUACUACGCUCUGUCGCAGCGCGAUCGCGACUCACUUACAAUCAAAGAAGUUAAAACUGUCAACAAAGGAUCACGUGGAUCUAGCAUCGAUAAAGAACGUAGCAGAUCGGAAGCACCCACGUCUGAACUACCGUCAC